rnacentral:rRNA from 1 species
UACGUAGGGUGCAAGCGUUGUCCGGAAUUAUUGGGCGUAAAGAGCUCGUAGGCGGUCUGUCGCGUCGGAUGUGAAAAUCCAGGGCUCAACCCUGGACCUGCAUUCGAUACGGGCAGACUAGAGUUCGGUAGGGGAGACUGGAAUUCCUGGUGUAGCGGUGAAAUGCGCAGAUAUCAGGAGGAACACCGGUGGCGAAGGCGGUUCUCUGGGCAUGUCCUGACGCUGAGGAGCGAAAGUGUGGGGAGCGAACAGG